GGGUAGUUAGCUCAGCGGUAGAGCUUCUGCCUUACAAGCAGACUGUCACAGGUUCAAAUCCUGUACUACCCA
rnacentral:tRNA from 1 species